ACUCCUACGGGAGGCAGCAGUGGGAAUAUUGGACAAUGGGGGAACCGUAGCAUCCAGCCAUGCCGCGUGUGUGAAGAAGGCCUUAUGGUUGUAAAGCACUUUAAGCGAGGAGGAGGCUACUGAGACUAAUACUCUUGGAUAGUGGACGUUACUCGCAGAAUAAGGACCGGCUAACUCCGUGCCAGCAGCCGCGGUAAUACGGAGGGUCCGAGCGUUAUCCGGAAUCAUUGGGUUUAAAGGGUCCGUAGGCGGGCCGUUAAGUCAGGGGUGAAAGUCUGCGGCUCAACCGUAGAAAUGCCUUUGAUACUGGCGGUCUUGAGUUAUGGCGAAGUGGGCGGAAUAUGUAGUGUAGCGGUGAAAUGCAUAGAUAUUACAUAGAACACCGAUUGCGAAGGCAGCCCACUAGCCAUGGACUGACGCUGAUGGACGAAAGCGUGGGGAGCGAACAGGAUUAGAUACCCUGGUAGGUC
rnacentral:rRNA from 1 species